GACAGAGGGGGCAAGCGUUGCUCGGAAUUACUGGGCGUAAAGGGUGCGUAGGCGGCGGAGUAAGUUGGGUGUGAAAUCCCGGGGCUCAACCUCGGAAUGGCAUUCAAUACUGCUUCGCUAGAGUACUGGAGAGGAGGCUGGAAUUUACGGUGUAGCAGUGAAAUGCGUAGAUAUCGUAAGGAAGGCCGGUGGCGAAAGCGAGCCUCUGGACAGUUACUGACGCUGAUGCACGAAGGCCAGGGGAGCAAACGGG
rnacentral:rRNA from 1 species